AGGUCAGGUGUAGCUCCAAGAAAAGUCAUAAUCAGGUCUUUGGAAGAAACCUCAUUCCAGCACAGAUGGUCCUGACUGACAAGCCCAGCCAGCCUUCAGAGUGAGCGUUGAGACAAAGCUAAAGUAACAGGACUUCCCACCAAGGAGAGGCCAGGAAACAAGUGGAGAACCAGAAGAAGAAGGAAAGCCCCACGGGGUAGGGGAACAUCUGGAUAUCCACCAAGUAAAGGAAGCUGUUUCCAGGAGAAAUCCAAGGAAGGAAAAAUCCAGAGCCUGAUGACAAUGUGGAGGUAGAAGAGGCUAGAAGGGCUGGCUUCCUUCUUUCUGCAUUGCUGGACCUACAGGAAUAAACAAGAGUUUCAAGUCUCAACGGAGCUUUUCAGUCACGCUUCUCCUUCAGCAAGCUGCCUGACGUUCACGUGAUCCUCUCUCACAUCCUCUGAGCCCAGAAAUAGUCUCAAACCGGCUGCUGGAAUCCAUCCUUCAGUCUGCUCCCAUCGCCCCUCAUCAUAGCCACAGGUGCUGUGGCAUCAAAGGCCACACUGGACAGUGUUGGGAGCGUAACAAACCCUGUGGGUAGCCAUGCCACCUACCUAAACUGAUAAGACAGCUCCAUGGACUUCACACACUGAGAUGUCAUGAAGAGGAAACCUGGAUUCUAGAUGACUGCAAAGAGAAAUGUGGGACUGAACCAGGAUUGUGAACACGGCAUGGCUAUAGGGGGGCUGGGGUUCUCCGACCCGCACCUUUCCUGCUUGAAGCCAACCUCCCGCCAUCAACGCAUGUACUGAAAGCAGAAUUUGUCUUCUGAAACCUCCUGGGCCAAGAUUUCCCCAAAUUGCUGGCAUAUUAAAACGAAGCCGCCAUGUGAAAUACCGAGCGGGGAUCCAAGGCCACAGUCAAGUUCACCUGCCCCACCUGUCUCUAAGCCAUGCCCCUGGCCUCCACACUCAUCACUGGGGGCGACCUCUCCGUUCUGGGGAAAAAUCCUUAUUACUGAAAUGGCUCCUUUAUAACCUUCUCCUUGAUCUGGGAUAUCAGCUUCUCACCAUCUAACUCUGGG